UGAAGUUGCUGAUGCCAUACUUCCAGGAAAAGCCUCUAAGCUUCAGAUUAUACCGAAUCGUACCCCAAACCGACACAGGUGGUCAGGUAGAGAAUACUAAGGCGCUUGAGAGAACUCGGGUGAAGGAACUAGGCAAAAUCGUACCGUAACUUCGGGAGAAGGUACGCUCCUAUCUGUGAUGAGACUUGCUCUCUAAGCGGACGGGAGCCGCAGUGACCAGGUGGCUGGGACUGUUUAUUAAAAACACAGCACUGUGCAAAAUCGCAAGAUGACGUAUACGGUGUGACACCUGCCCGGUGCCGGAAGGUUAAUUGAUGGGGUUAUCUUCGGAGAAGCUCUUGAUCGAAGCCCCGGUAAACGGCGGCCGUAACUAUAACGGUCCUAAGGUAGCGAAAUUCCUUGUCGGGUAAGUUCCGACCUGCACGAAUGGUGUAACCAUGGCCACGCUGUCUCCACCCGAGACUCAGUGAAAUUGAAAUCGCAGUGAAGAUGCUGUGUACCCGCGGCUAGACGGAAAGACCCCGUGAACCUUUACUACAGCUUGGCACUGAACAUUGAACCUACAUGUGUAGGAUAGGUGGGAGACUUUGAAGNNGNNACGCUAGUNNUNNUGGAGUCGUCCUUGAAAUACCACCCUUGUAGUUUUGAUGUUCUAACGUUGGCCCCUGAAUCGGGGUUACGGACAGUGCCUGGUGGGUAGUUUGACUGGGGCGGUCUCCUCCCAAAGAGUAACGGAGGAGCACGAAGGUUGGCUAAGUACGGUCGGACAUCGUACGGUUAGUGUAAUGGUAGAAGCCAGCUUAACUGCGAGACAGACACGUCGAGCAGGUACGAAAGUAGGUCAUAGUGAUCCGGUGGUUCUGAAUGGAAGGGCCAUCGCUCAACGGAUAAAAGGUACUCCGGGGAUAACAGGCUGAUACCGCCCAAGAGUUCAUAUCGACGGCGGUGUUUGGCACCUCGAUGUCGGCUCAUCACAUCCUGGGGCUGAAGUCGGUCCCAAGGGUAUGGCUGUUCGCCAUUUAAAGUGGUACGCGAGCUGGGUUUAGAACGUCGUGAGACAGUUCGGUCCCUAUCUGCCGUGGGCGUUUGAGAAUUGAGAGGGGUUGCUCCUAGUACGAGAGGACCGGAGUGAACGAACCGCUGGUGUUCGGGUUGUCAUGCCAAUGGCAUUGCCCGGUAGCUACGUUCGGAACUGAUAAGCGCUGAAAGCAUCUAAGCGCGAAGCAGGCCUCGAGAUGAGUUCUCACUAGACUUUUAAAGUCUCUGAAGGGCCGUUGAAGACUACAACGUUGAUAGGCAAGAUGUGGAAGUGGUGUGAGCCAUUAAGCUAACUUGUACUAAUUACCCGUGAGGCUUAACCAUACAACGCCAAACGCGUUU
rnacentral:rRNA from 1 species